GAUGAACGCUGGCGGCGUGCCUAAUACAUGCAAGUCGAGCGAACGGACGAGAAGCUUGCUUCUCUGAUGUUAGCGGCGGACGGGUGAGUAACACGUGGAUAACCUACCUAUAAGACUGGGAUAACUUCGGGAACCCGGAGCUAAUACCGGAUAAUAUUUUGAACCGCAUGGUUCAAAAGUGAAAGACGGUCUUGCUGUCACUUAUAGAUGGAUCCGCGCUGCAUUAGCUAGUUGGUAAGGUAACGGCUUACCAAGGCAACGAUGCAUAGCCGACCUGAGAGGGUGAUCGGCCACACUGGAACUGAGACACGGUCCAGACUCCUACGGGAGGCAGCAGUAGGGAAUCUUCCGCAAUGGGCGAAAGCCUGACGGAGCAACGCCGCGUGAGUGAUGAAGGUCUUCGGAUCGUAAAACUCUGUUAUUAGGGAAGAACAUAUGUGUAAGUAACUGUGCACAUCGUGACGGUACCUAAUCAGAAAGCCACGGCUAACUACGUG
rnacentral:rRNA from 1 species